rnacentral:rRNA from 1 species
GAUGAACGCUAGCUACAGGCUUAACACAUGCAAGUCGAGGGACCGGCGCACGGGUGAGUAACCCGUAUCCAACCUGCACUUUACUCGGUGAUAGCCUUUAGAAAGAAAGAUUACUACCCAAUGUAAAGGAUGGGGAUGGGUUCCAUUAGUGUGUGGGUGAGGUACCGGCUAACCAAGCCUUCGCUGGAUAUGGUUGCUGGGGGUAAGGUCCCCCACAUUGGAGCUAAGGUCCGGUCCAAACUGCGACGGGAGGCAGGGGUGUGGAAUAUUGUUCAAUGGACGUUAGCCUGAACCAGCCGAGUAGCGUGAAGGAGGAAGGCUUAUGGAUCGUAAACUUCUUUGAUAUAAGAAUAGGUAUUAUAUGAAUAAGGAUCGGCUAACUCCGUGCCAGCAGCCGCGGUAAUUC